rnacentral:snRNA from 1 species
AUACUUACCUCGGAAGGGAGAUAUCAUGAUCAUGAAGGUGGUUUUCCCAGGGCGAGGCUCAUCCAUUGCACUCCAGAUGUGCUGACCCCUGCAGUUUCCCCAAUGUGGGAAACUUGACUGCACAAAUUAUGGCAGUGGGGGACUGUGUUCAUGCUAUCCCCUU